CAAGAAUGUUGUGGAGAUGGAAAAAAGGAAUAGCUGAUGACAUGAAGCAGGAAGAAAGAGGGCCUAAAGUAACGCUAUACAGAAUGAGACACAAGAUGGGAAGACCUGAAAGGUCAUACAGGCAUGCCUUUCCCAUCCUUUGGUUGUCAGGCUACAGGAGUUGGCAGCUUCACUGAGCACCGGCUCCUGCUGCUUAUAAUGAAUGAGAGAGACUGAAGGAAAAUUCACGCAGUGAGGUCAGGAAUAAGAGAAAGACAUAAAAAGUCUUGAAUAUGGCAUUGAUCAUGGUUGCAGAUGAUAUCCAAUGCAUUGGAAUGGUGGCGCUACAUCCAUCAUGGCUCUUCUUGAUCUUGCAGGAGUCUUUGAUAUUAUCAAUCAUACUGUAGUACAUUUCUAGACUGAUUGGAAGCAUA